UAUCUCAGGCGUGGAUCAUCCAAGUGAUCGAGACUGCGUGCAGAUGCGUAUCUCUCAGCGACCGUCAGAGCGAGGGAAGAGGAUGCGCCAUCAAGUGACGUCAGCGGAAUGCAGAAACUGGCCAAGCAAAUUAAUGGGAUUAGGCUGUUGGUUCGUGCAGAAGGUAAUAUCAAUCAACGUCAUUUUCUAAGCAACAGCAGUAUCUUUCUGUCUCUGUGUGUCAAGCGAACAGAUAUCGAAUAGGACGAAACGAAGUAAUUUAGUCUAGUUGGAAUUA